rnacentral:rRNA from 1 species
GGGGGAACCGGCGUAAGGGGCAGUAAGGCAUGGGUACCUACCCUGGGGUUCGGGAUAGCCGUCUGAGAAGGCGGGUAAUACCGGAUGACCUCGGGAGAGCAAAGAUUGAUCGCCCUGGGAGGGGCCCAUGUGAUAUUAGCUAGUUGGUGAGGUAACGGCUCACCAAGGCGAAGAUGUCUAGCGGGUGUGAGAGCACGACCCGCGCCACUGGCACUGAGACACUGGCCAGACACCUACGGGUGGCUGCAGUCGAGGAUCUUCGGCAAUGGGCGAAAGCCUGACCGAGCGACGCCGCGUGUGCGACGAAGGCCUUCGGGUUGUAAAGCACUGUCGAGGGGGAGAAAAGCCCGCAAGGGUGUGAUCUAUCCCUGGAGGAAGCUCGGGCUAAGUUCGUGCCAGCAGCCGCGGUAAGACGAACCGAGCGAACGUUGUUCGGAAUCACUGGGCUUAAAGGGCGCGUAGGCGGGCUGCCGCGUCCGGGGUGAAAUGCCACGGCUCAACCGUGGAACGGCCUCGGAUACGGGCGGUCUCGAGGGGGGUAGGGGCAUCUGGAACUGUGAGUGGAGCGGUGAAAUGCGUUGAUAUUCACAGGAACUCCGGUGGCGAAGGCGAGGUGCUGGACCCCAUCUGACGCUGAGGCGCGAAAGCCAGGGGAGCAAACGGGAUUAGAUACCCCGGUAGUCCUGGCCCUAAACGAUGGGUACUAGGUAGUAGACCAGACAUGGGUUUACUGCCGGAGCUAAAGUGCUAAGUACCCCGCCUGGGGAGUAUGGUCGCAAGGCUGAAACUCAAAGGAAUUGACGGGGGCUCACACAAGCGGUGGAGCAUGUGGCUUAAUUCGAGGCUACGCGAAGAACCUUAUCCUGUCUUGACAUGUGCGGAAGCGCUGGGAAGUAGAACCCGGAAACGGGAACGAACGGUAUCCAGUCCGGAACUCAGUACAGGUGCUGCAUGGCUGUCGUCAGCUCGUGUCGUGAGAUGUCGGGUUAAGUCCCAUAACGAGCGAAAC